CUAUUUGAUUGGGGAUGCCCAACUGAAGUGAACUGAUGCUUAAUAUGAAGUUCAGAGCAGAAGUCUCUAAACUUUGCAUGGUUGAAUUGUCGGCCGUUGUCAGUGUGAUCACUCUCAAAAUUUCAAAUUAGUAGAUGAUUGAUUUCAAGACAAAGUUUCUGAUCUUUUAUUUGGUGAUAUGUGCCAAAGGUUUUAUUUCCACCCACUUCAUGAAAUAAACAAUUGUGACGAUCAGGAAUUUUGUUUGAUUCGAUACCAUCAAGAAAAGAUCAAGAAUGUCUGUUCCCCACA
rnacentral:lncRNA from 1 species